GUAGGUGGCAAGCGUUGUCCGGAAUUAUUGGGCGUAAAGCGCGCGCAGGCGGUCCUUUAAGUCUGAUGUGAAAGCCCACGGCUCAACCGUGGAGGGUCAUUGGAAACUGGGGGACUUGAGUACAGAAGAGGAAAGCGGAAUUCCAAGUGUAGCGGUGAGAUGCGUAGAGAUUUGGAGGAACACCAGUGGCGAAGGCGGCUUUCUGGUCUGUAACUGACGCUGAGGCGCGAAAGCGUGGGGAGCAAACAGGGAUUAGAUACCCUGGUAGUCCACGCCGUAAACGAUGAGUGCUAAGUGUUAGGGGGUUUCCCGCCCCUUAGUGCUGCAGCUAACGCAUUAAGCACUCCGCCUGGGGAGUACGGCCGCAAGGCUG
rnacentral:rRNA from 1 species